GGGAGGAGUGGAAUAGGGUGUGGGAGACACAUUUUAACCGAGCACAGCUUUCCUCCACAUUGUGGACCUCGGGGUGAGCAAUGGGUCCAGAACCUCGUCUUGGUCUGAAAGACCGUCACAGUGACAGUCAACUGCUCAGGUAGUGUCGCAGGAGACAUGGGGUGUCGCGUCCUCAGCCUCCUUCCCACCCAGGCUGCUGGCCUGGUUGGGCCGUCUUUAGUCCCUGCAAGACGGCCGUGCAGAGAGCCCUGAGCAAGCAAAGUGUGUUCCCAUGAAAGAGAGCCUGGACGCCAGAUAGUCAGUUCUCGGUCAUCUUUUUUUCAUAUUCUUUUAAAAUUAUAAAAUUAAUAGUAGUGCUCAUAAAAUGUCAAACAGUUCAGGAACUUCCCUGACGGGGUCCAGUGGUUAAGACUUCACCUGCCAAUGCAGGGGUCACAGGUUUGAUCCCUGGUCUGGGAGCUAAGAUCCCACGUGCCUCCUGGCCAAGAAACUGAAACAUAGAAGUGAUCAUUGUAACAGAUUCAAUAAAGAGUUUAAAAAUGGUCCACCUCAAAAUAAUUUUAAAAAAAUCUGUUUAAAAAAAAAAAAGUCAAGCAGUUCUGAGAUAGAUGAAGUUAGUGGGUUGGGCCCCCCCACUCCCUGAAGGCGGCCACUGUCAGACUGGGCUUGGUCCUUUGCGCCCGGACUGUCGGCUGAGCCUCGUGGUAGAAGAACCUCCAGGAGUGUGAUGAGCCUCUGUCUCUGCUGGACUCAUAUCCAGACCCUCAAUUGCAGUGUCUGCAGCUCAGAGCCAGGGUCACCCCCAGAUGCCGGGCAAUCAGCCCAGCUCCAGUCUCUGGGGGCUCACCACGUAGGAGUGACUCUCUGAAUCCUGCUACUCAGGUACCCCCAAACCUCAGCCUAUCUGCAGAGGCAGGGGAUGGAGUCUGGCUGGACUCAGCUUGGGGUGGGGGCCUCGAGCUUCUCAGCUCCCAGCUUCCCUCAGCCCCCUGCCUUCCUGUGAGGUCCCCAUCCAUCUGCACCCUUGGAUGUGUGGCUCCUGGGUGUCCCACUGGCCUGGCAGGUCAGGAACGCAGAAAGACUGCUUUAAUGGGCAGGGCUCUUAUUUAUUUGGGCGCGACAAAGUAUGUGGAAGGUCGUUGAUGCCCGGAAGCACCUGCCACUGGUGAGGUUGUGUGCUGUGACCAUGAGGACUGCCACCGCUCCCUCUCCAUGGCUUCACUGGGAGGUCUCUGCAGCUGCACAGUAGGAGUCAGUUCUGAGGAUAGGGGCCCUUGGGCUGGGGCAGCCAGGCAGCUCGCCCAAGCUGGGGUCUGUACCUAGAGUUGCCUGCAAAGAUACUGACACGUGAUCACUGAGCCUGGCAGGUGUCAGGUGGCCCCCUGGGCUGAGGACAUGUCCAGUGAUUAAAGGUGACCAUUUGUCCGGGACUUUUAAAGACGAGAGGAAAGUCUUUUUUUGUGGUAUUAGAACUGUUUCCCAGUCCCAGCUUUGUUGAUAUUUGGGGCGGUUCAUUUUCUGCUGUGGGUCUGUCCUGUGCAGUGAGAUGGCAUCAGUUUGCCUGGCCCGUACCCACUCGUUACCAGUAGCAUCUCCACCUCCACUUGUGACCACCAGAAAGGUCUCUAGACGUUGCCAGAUGUCCCCCGGGGGACAGACUCGCCCCUACUGAGAGCCCCUGGACUCGAGGACUCAGAUUGGGCUUCCAGCGAUCACUGCUUUGGCAUCAUGAGCUGCUUCUCACUCGGGUGCAGUUUUCUUUGUUCCUUUUCCAAAAGGCUGACCUCAUCGAGCUCAUUUGUUUGUUUCGUUGACUCACCCAGCUCUAACCACAAGAGCCUUCCUACUUUGGGGGAUCCCAAAUGGCUUAUCAUGGGACUCUGUACGUAAAUCUAAAAGAUUUUUGUCUGCUAAAUUGGAGGCAGACACUUCUCUUUUAGCUCUGCUUUGGAAGUCCUUCCCUCAAGCAUUCAAGGACAUAAGGGGCUCCUGCUAAAGAUUUUACUGUGAGCACCCUUGUAGUUCAGUUUUCUGAAAUCGUCAAGCAUUUUUCUCCCAUUCAUUUGGGUCUUAGCCCAGUGACUAGCAUAUGAUCUAAGGGCCAGAGCUGUCUGGAGUUGGCCAGUGCUUGGGAGAUUUUCUUAAGGCCUCUGGCCUAGGACUGACUGGGGAGGAAGGCAGAGGAGGAGCCAGGAAGGGGAAGGGGAGGAUGAGGAGGAAGAAGGAGGAAGGAGAGACAGGUUCUAGGUGGACCCACCCACCCAGAGUCACACCCCAGUGCUGUGCAUCAGGAUCCUUGGGCAAGGCCUGGCCUGUUGGGGGCUCCUCUUGAGGCCCUGAGAAAGCUGCUGCCUUUGAGGUGGGGCUGCAGAAAGCUCAAUGUAGCUUUGAGGACUGAUGCAAUCCUGAGGCCAGAGACCACGCCUUCUACCCACUUGGUUUCAAGCAGAGGCAGGACAGGCCUGCCCCCUGUCAUCGGCAGGGCCAGCUGUGAGUGUUUCUUUGGCAGUGUCUUAGCUGGUUGUUGUGAGUAAUAAUGCAGGAAGCAAUCAGCAAGUAUACUGCCCUAGAAGUGCUGCACGUUGUGGGCCCAGGAGGGAAGAAAGGGGCAAGACGCUCGAACCAUCAUGGGAUGCUGGGACAGGAUGUCGGAGGCUUUGCCCUGCCAUGGCAGCUGGCUCGUGUCCUUAGAGAUGGGCCUGUGAUGGUGUCACUGACCUGUGGGGACCCCCUUUGCCGAGUGAUUUGAAUGUGAACACCCUGUACUCUCUCCCUGCAUGAAGCAAAUUUCAAAUGCAAUCAUAUGCUUCGGAAAAGGUACCUAUGUGGGCAUUAGGAGAUGUGUCUGCCUUGGGGAGAGUUUUUCUUUUCAUCUGAAGCCAGGCCCAGGAGGUUGAUGGGGAGGAGAAGCUGGUGGUGUUUUCUGCGCUAGUGGCUGAUAAGAAGGGUUGCUCCAAGGGAGCUCAGCUGAGACGAGAGUUUGGUUCUCUGGGUCCCACCAGUUCCACCUACCGAUGCCAGCUUUGGGUCCAGCGAGCUGUGAGGCCUGCCAGAUUACCAUGACAACAGGAACUGGAUCCAAGCCACCAAAGGAUGGAGAGCCAAGACAGCAGUGGCUUUUUCAAGUCUUGGAUCAUCAGGCACACCCCAUGGCCUCCAGCAAGCCCGGGAUAACCCAACAGCAAUACAGGCCCUGUGUGUCCCCAGAGCCUGCCAAACCAGCUUGGGGUCCUUGCCGUCCUGCCAUUGGUAUCUACUUGCUGACACUGAGUGUUUUAGGCUGAAGUAAAGAAUGCCUGCCUUCUCCAACCACCAACUGAUCUGGGAGCUUGAGCUUCUCAAAUAAAGGUACCAGACUCCUCUGUCCAUGGAAUUCCCCAGGCAAGAGUACUGGAGUGGGUUGCAUUCCCUUCUCCAGAGGAUCUUCCCGACCUAAGGAUCGAACCAAGGUCUCCCGCAUUGCAGAUGGAUUCUUUACUGUCUGAGCCACCAAGGAAUCCCAAAGGGACCACAGGUUUGAAUUAUGAUUUAACUAGACUGUUAAUUUGAGUUUAGGUAAUAUCAUUUGCAAAGUAGCCUUUUCCUGUCUAGCUUUGCUUUUAGUUAUACCAGCAAGGAGCAUCCUUGGUGGCCCAGUGGUAAUGAAUCCGCCUGCAGAAUAGGAGACCUGGGUUUGAUCCCUGGGUCGGGAAGAUCCCCUGGAGAAGGGGAUCAGGCAAACUACUCCAGUAUUCUUGGCUGAAGAAUUCCACGGACAGGGGAGCCUGGCAGGCUACAGUCCACGGGGUCACAAAGAGUCGGACACAACUUAGCGACCAACACAUGCAGUUAUGUCAGCACAGAAACAUGAUCUGCUUCUCACAUAAAGUUCACUUAUCUGUGACCUGUCUCAGAUGGAGGUCGCCUGUAGACAUCCCUGGAUGAUCAUUCAGAAAACAAACGUCAGGUUGUCCCCGCUUCUGUUUGUCCCUGCUUCUGUUUGGGUCUCAGAUAAAACUGAUGUGUUCAUGGCAGUUGAAUUUACUCCUGCAGUCUUUAGAGCGGAUGGAUAGAACAUUUCUGUCAUCUUUAUAUCUGAUGGUAACAGAAGACAUGUACUUGGAUAUUCAUCUAGCUCUUUAUCUCCUCUCCUGUGGAGGCGUGAGGGGGUGGUGUUGGCUCCACAGGAGUGAGUUUAGAAUAGACUGGUAAAGAGGGCUACUUCCCUGUCUCUGUCUGUCUCUCUCACCCAUACAGACACACCUGGAUGCACGUACGCACACACGCACUCAUGCACAUUGGCCUUGAAUCUGGGGAGUUCGGGGUCCUUAAGUUGAGUAUGUUCGGCCCUGGGGCAGAGCGCACUUCUUCUUUGGGAAUGAAGGGGCAAAUCCUAGUUUGUAGCUGGUGGGUUGGAGAGAGGGACCAAGAACUUCAUGACUGGACUUAAGUUUGGAGGCAGGUAGAGUUAAAUGCAAGUUUUAUGUUUUUUGGGGAAAGUAUCUGUUCUUCUUGACUGAGGCAAAGUGUAGGUUAAAACAUACAUUUGGUUAAAAUGUAUAUGCAGGUGUUUCUCUGGUGGUCUAGUGGCUAAGACUCCGUGCUUCAAGGCUGGAGGUGCAGGUCUGAUCAUGGUCAGGGAACUGGGCUGCCGCGUGACAUGAGGUGAGGCCAAAAAAACAAAAAACCAAAAAAAAUCACUUAAAAAAAAAUAUAUAUAUAUGUCAGCCUAUAUAUUUAAUAAGCUCUGUGGAUCAGUAAUAGCCAUUUCCUAGUUUCAGUAUUGUCCUACAGUUACUGAGAGAAACUGACUCAAAAGUAUAUAGGAUCUCUCUGUAUCUUUUUUUUUUGCAAUUUUCUAUAAAUCUAUGGUUAUUUAAAAAUAAAAAGUUACAACAUAUAUUUGACUAAAUGCUGUGUGGUGUCCUCGAUUGGAUCCUGGAACAGAAGAAAGACAUGAGUACAGAAACUGGUGAAACCCAAGAAAGAUCUUUUAACAUUUACCAAUGUUAAUUUCUAAGUUUUGAUAAUGGUUAUGUAAAAUGUUAACAUUUAGAGGAAACUGAGUGAAGGAUAUGAGGGAAUUCUCUUUGCAACUUUUCUGUAAAUCUAAAAUUAUUCCAAAAUUUAAAGUUUAUUAAAAACAAAAACAUGUAUGUAUAUAUAUAUAUAUAUGUAUGCAUGCACACAUAUGUAUUACAUUUAUAUUUAAACACAUCCACAAAACCAGUGUCCUUAAAAAUACACUUUCUUUAGGUGAAGCAUCAGAUGGUGCCUCUGAGGUGAGGCAAUAAUUAAGGGCCCUUUCAACAAAUGAACUGCAAGGUCAUUUAGUUCCCUAAUUUGUCUGUAUUCCCACAGGGACCCUACACAGCUCUUAAAACCCAAUAGGAACCUGAAUUCUCCCCUCUCUGAAUCAUACAAUAGGGAAAGUUCAUUGUAGUACAAUCUCAUUUUCCAGAUCAGAAACUGAGGCCCAGAUAAGAACUGAUGUAAUUUAAAUUGAGAUUUCCUGGAAUAUUUAAAACUGAAUUUCUUACUUUUUCUGUUUGACCAGCCUGCACUUGGACACAUACAAAAUAAUCAUAACUGUAACCUUUGUACGUUUAAGGGAAGAGGGGCAGGUGGGAAGGAAAUAAUCUUUGCCACUCUUUUCUGGGGCUCUCUCUCCCCAGGAUCAGUGGUUAAAAUUGGUGGGUGUGGUGAGGAAUCUGGUCAAAAUGAAAGCUUUAAUUCAGCACCUAGUCCGUGCCCUACACCAGACAGGGUGCUAGUAGGGAUGCCCAAGGACUAGGGGACAUUGGGGGAGUUUUGCUCCCCAGCGGCCUCUUAUAGCAGCAGCUGCUGGAUCCUUGGGAAAACCACUCACCCAACUAGAUGCAGUCAGGGGCUCCCCUGGUCAGUGUGAGUCGUGAGCUCAGGGUGCAGAUGAGGCGUACUUGCAGUUUGCCGGUCCCAGUGCACACAUUCAAAGGGGGAUCCUGUCACUCUGGCGCCCUGGAUCCCCCAAGCUCCUUGGUCCCAUCCUGCCUAAGUAUUCCUGCCAUCCGAGGAGCUGCCUUGUUUUCACUAGAUAUGAGUUCACCAGCGUCCCAUUUAUUGUUUGAAACUCACAAACUAAAUGAUAUGCCUACACAGAGGAAGGAGUGGUUCCUUCACUCUUCAUCCCCUGCAUCUCUCUCUGGACAUUACCUGGAGCCACUUUGGACAAAUCCAUCCUUUGCUGGAACUGGAAUUGCCAAAGUAAACAGCCAAAUACAUAGGCCCUUGAACUCUUUAACUAAGAGGUGCCUUGUGCCCCUUUGGUGUUUCUGUAGUAAUUGUUCAGGCUGGUACCUCCUCACUCCAUCCCCAGGAUCCUGAGGCAUCAUUCCAGAACAGAGCAUCAGGCCUUAGUCUAAUUUCCGUAAUGCACAGAAAUCACAGAUUAUCCUGUCUCUAAAUGACAAACUUUAAGGAUUGUCUUUUUCUAUUUGAAGUUACUGCUAAAACAUGGAAUACAGAUAGGAGAGAAGAGAUGAAACUAUUAACUUUUAAUAUAGAAGCCAUCUCCCCCAGCUUAUGGUCUGGAAGUUUCCACGAGGCUCAGAUCUGAAGGAGCAGGUUAUCUGAUUCUUGGUGCUGGUGACAAGUCAGUGGCUCCUGGUGAGGUUGCUGUGCCCUGGACACUGGCCUCACUCCUCCCUUUGCUGUUCCCUGAGAGCCAAGGCAGCUUCAGGAUAUGUAGUCUGUACAGUCAUCACAGGACCCUGUGCUUAGCAGGGCCUGCGUCUGGGGUGUCACCAGUGGAACUUGGUAAUGACUUUGGAACAAGGACUUGCAAUUUCACUGUGCACCUGGCCCAUGAAUUGUGUAGCCACUUUUGUCUAAUACCUGCCACAAGCCUUCAGGCUGGAGGUAAUGAGGACUCUGUUGUCCCACGUCAAACUCAUGACCCAGUUUGGGAUCAGGACUUGGUGACCACUUCCUGAGACAGCCUGACACAGAACAGGUGCUGCAGCAAAAGAUGGUGACCGACCCACCCAGAGAGUUGGGGCGAGGGAGGCUGGGUGGGACCAGAAUUAUUCUGGCUGAACCCAGGGCCUCUCAGGGGACACACACAAAUACAGAACCUGGGUCCAGUGCUUGGGGCUGCCUCUGACAGUCAUAAGAAACUGGCUCAUCAGAACUCAGGAAUGUUUCUUGUUUUGUGACUUGUUUCUGCUUGGGGACUGUGUUACUCUGCUAGGGCUGCACUAACAAAGAACCGCAGAAAAUCUGUCUUCUCACAGUUGCAGAGGCUGGAAGUCCAAGAUCAAGGUGUCAGCAGAGCUGGUCCCAUCUGAGGCCUGUCUCCUUGGUUCACGGAUGGCCCUCCUCUCACUGUGUCCUCACAUGAUCUGUGCCUGCCUGUGACCACACCUCCCUUUUUAUGAGAAUGCCAGUCAUACUGGAUUAGAACCCACCCUGAUGACCUCUAACCUGAUUACCUCAUUAAAGAACCUAUGUCCAGGGACUUACCUGGUGGUCCAGUGGGGUCCCAAGUUCAGUCCCUGGUCAGGAAACUAGAUUCCACAUGUCACAACUAAGAUCGAAGAUGCCGGUGCCACAGCUAAGACCCUGUGCAGUCACAGAUAAAUAAAUACUAGGGGGGAGAAAAAACCCAGUCUCCAAAUUCAGUCACAUUCUGAAAUCCUGAGGGUCAGGACUUCAACUAUGGGUUUGCAGAGUGGGGUCGGGAUGGUGGUGACACAGUUCAGCUCAUCAUUGAGAUUUUUCUGAACACUUCAAAGCCAAGUAUUAAUAGCUUAGCAGUAUCUUUCCCGUCUAGAGAUGCACUCUGGGGCCUGUUCUCUGUCCAUAGGAAGAGGCAGUGAAAGACCCAGGAGCCAACAGAACGUAGCCGUUGGAGAUUGCUCAAGGGCAUGGGGCGUGGUCACUUAGUACUGGCUCUCAGAAAGAUGCACAAGAGUGAUCAUGCAGAGGGCAGGGACCAUCUGUGCCGGAGUCCUGUGGGGCCUGAGCAAGAGGGGUGAUCGGAACCACAGGACUUGGGUCAGAGAUGGGAGAAGGCCAGCAAGCUCAGGGU
ensembl:lncRNA